AGUGAACGCUGGCGGUAGGCCUAACACAUGCCAGUCGAACGGCAGCACAGUAAGAGCUUGCUCUUACGGGUGGCGAGUGGCGGACGGGUGAGGAAUACAUCGGAAUCUACUUUUUCGUGGGGGAUAACGUAGGGAAACUUACGCUAAUACCGCAUACGACCUACGGGUGAAGGCAGGGGAUCUUCGGGCCUUGCGCGAUUGAAUGAGCCGAUGUCGGAUUAGCUAGUUGGCGGGGUAAAGGCCCACCAAGGCGACGAUCCGUAGCUGGUCUGAGAGGAUGAUCAGCCACACUGGAACUGGGACACGGUCCAGACUCCAACGGAGGGCAGCAGUGGGGAAUAUUGGACAAUGGGCGCAGGCCUGAUCCAGCCAUACCGCGUGGGUGAAGAAGGCCUUCGGGUUGUAAAGCCCUUUUGUUGGGAAAGAAAAGCAGCAGGUUAAUACCCCGCUGUUCUGACGGUACCCAAAGAAUAAGCACCGGCUAACUUCGG
rnacentral:rRNA from 1 species